AUGGGUGUUACGCACGGUUUGUCACGGAUACACCAUUCAGUUUCGGAAAGGCCCGCCUCCUUUCCGCGGAAUUCUUCCCACUACGGUGAAGUCUACGGAAAUGGCGGUGCUGCGACAAGAAAUGUCAGCUCUGCUGAGCAAAGGGGCUAUAGAAGAAGUACACCCCUCUCAGAUGGAGACAGGUUUUUACAGCCGUUAUUUCGUGGUACUGAAAAAAGACGGCGGGUUACGACCCAUUCUGGAUUUACGCCGUCUGAAUCUUGCACUCAGACCGAGCAAAUUCAAGAUGUUGACGGUGAAAUCUAUUCUGUCUCAGAUCCGACCAAGCGAUUGGUUUAUUACGAUCGAUCUGAAGGAUGCGUAUUUCCAUAUUCAGAUCGUCAAGAGACACAGGAAGUUCCUCAGAUUCGCUUUAGAGGGCAAAGCGUAUCAGUACCGCGUUCUUCCUUUUGGCUUGGCUUUAGCGCCCCGUACUUUCUCAAAAUGCAUGGACGCAGCUCUGGCCCCGUUGCGGCUCCAGGGCGUUCGUGUGUUGAAUUAUUUGGACGAUUGGCUGGUGCUAUCGCAAUCGCGGACUCAAGCACACUCUCACCGAGAUCUUGUGCUGAAUCAUUUAAACAGCCUGGGCUUACGAACAAAUUUCAAGAAGAGUGUUUUAACUCCCUCUCAACGGAUAACUUUUCUUGGAAUAGAUCUGGACUCUCGCGCGAUGACAGCGAAGCUUUCUCUCCCGCGCGCUCAGUCGAUUGCGUCAUGCGUGCGGCACUUCAAAGCGGGUCGCACGGUGACAGUGAGAUUGUGCCUCAGGCUCUUGGGUCUAAUGGCAGCAGCAUCCCCCGUGAUUCGUCUGGGAUUGCUUCAAAUGCGCCCCUUUCAGUGGUGGACAAAAAGGCGGAAUAUUUCACCCCGUUGUCUCCCGCAUCGCACGAUUUCGGUGACACGGCGGUGUGUGAUGUCGCUAAGAAUUUGGAUGUCAACCGAAUUUCUCCUGUCAGGAGUUCGAUUGGGAAUUUAUGCUUUCCGAGAGACUGUUGGGGAGCUGUGUGUCGAGGGCGACCAGCCCACGGAGUGUGGACAGCGGCUCAGCGCGGCUGGCACAUAAACAGACUGGAAUUACUGGCAGUUUUUCUGGCUCUCCAGUAUUUCGCGGAUCUGCUGAAGCGGCCGUCAUGUGCUGCUCUGAUCAGACAACACAGCGGUUGUGUCUUAUCUGAACCAUCAAGGAGGAUUGCGCUCUCGCCCCCUGUGCAGGCUGGCGAGGCGUGUUCUUCUGUGGUCUCGGGACAAGUUUCUCUCGAUCCGGGCCAUUCAUGUCCCCGGACGAUUGAAUUUCGGAGCGGACCUGCUAUCCAGACAGGCUCUGGAACAGGGAGAAUGGCGAUUACACCCCCAGACGGUGGAUCUGUUAUGGCGGAUAUUCGGCAAAGCGAAAGUGGAUUUAUUCGCAUCGAGCAUGACUACGCAUUGCCCGCUAUGGUUCUCCCUACGCUCCCCAUCGCCCCUGGGCGUGGAUGCGUUAGCUCACAGCUGGCCCAGGACCAGUCUGUAUGCUUUUCCUCCGAUUCGUUUGAUCCCAGCGGUAUUAUGCAGAGUACGCCGGGACAGAGUGGAACAGCUGCUGCUGGUGGCUCCGCGAUGGCACACGCAGCCGUGGUUUGCGGAUCUGAUCAGUCUGCUAGCGGGCUCUCCGUGGGAGAUUCCCAUCAGACAGGAUUUAUUAUCACAAGCACAGGGGCUGAUUUGGCACCCGAGGCCAGAUCUGUGGAAACUGUGGGCGUGGCCACUGAGCGGAGUGCAAUAGUAUGUCCCGGUCUUUCUGUUGAAACUACUGAGACUAUAUUGAGUUCUAGAGCAGCUUCUACGAGACGCUUAUAUGCUUUCAAGUGGAGACUGUUUACAGCCUGGUGUGGCAAUCAUAAUGUGGAUCCAGUUUACUGCCCAGUGGCUUCAGUGCUGGAGUUCCUCCAGGAGCGUUUCUCGGAUGGCGUUACACCAGCCACUUUAAAGGUUUACGUGGCAGCCAUUUCAGCUUACCACGAAUACAUAGGCGGUGCCUCUGUGGGGCGUCAUCCAUUAGUUUCUCGUUUCAUACAGGGUGCGCGACGGCUGAGGCCUUUCCGCCCUGUGCGAGUUCCUUCAUGGGAUUUAUCCAUUGUGUUGUUAGGUUUAUCAGGGCAUCCGUUUGAGCCCUUGGAGACCGUCUCAGAUAAAAUCCUGACACUGAAGACACUUCUUCUCAUGGCCUUAUCCUCCCUCAAGAGAGUUGGGGAUUUACAGGCUCUUUCGGUUUCACCCUCAUGCAUGGAAUUUGCACCAGGCUCUGUGAAGGUGCUGCUGCGGCCCAGGCCUAACUAUGUUCCUAAGAUCGCAUCUAACCCUUUUCGCUUUCAGCAAGUGGUUCUGGAAGCUUUUUCACCUGCUGAGGCCGGGUCAGGAGAUCUAAGUCUUUGCCCUGUGAGAGCUUUAAAGACUUAUGUGGAUCGCACAGCCCCUUGGCGUGGAUCUGACCAGCUGUUUGUCUGCUUUGGACAUAAGAGUAAGGGCCAUGCAGUUACAAAGCAGCGCAUGUCCCAUUGGCUGGUGGAGGCAAUUUCUUUGGCCUAUGAGGCGCGCGGACUCGCUUCGCCCUUAGGGGUUAAGGCUCAUUCCACUCGAGCUGUAGCUUCUUCUCAAGCUUUUCUCAGUGGCUCUUCUAUGGAUGAUAUCUGUGCUGCGGCAGGAUGGUCCUCACCGAGCACUUUUAUCAAGUCCUACAGUCUGGAUGUGAGGAUGGCCCCUGGCUCCCGGGUUCUCUCCGCUUGA
ensembl:lncRNA